AAUCGCAAUAAGCUUUGUGCUCUAUUACCUUUAAUAAAAAAAAAAAUCAGUUUUAAAUUCUGCCAAAUUCAUAACGGAAUGUGUUCCUGAUCUCCAGUGAGAGCUCAUUAUGAAGUAGCUUGGCUAACUGUGCUCCAGUGAGAGCAGCACAGAGCUCAAGCCUAGGCAUUGAUUGUUGCCUUUUUGAGGAUACUCUAGAUCUGGCAUGGAGGAAUGCCAACUCAACCUGUCCUUGGUGUUCAGUACAGAAGUAUGCAGCUGACCUGUAGGCUGCCUCGGAGGCGUCACAGAAGAUGUGGAUUUCUCGUUUCACCUCUGGAACAUCUAGUGCAGCUGAUACAUAACACCGAGGCAUGGUGAUCAGUGGUAGAUGCUCCAGUUCAGUUUUCCAUCUUUGCCAGGCCUGCAGCUGUUCAUAAGGAAGAAUGGGGUCGUUGUGACCUUACUACCAUCUUUUCAUUGCGAUAAGGCAGGAUGUCCAUCUGCCAUAACCUUUCAACUUGCCGAUACAGUUCAGCAGUUACAUGGUAAGCAGUUAGAUGUGAACAGACACUGUGAGACUGGGAGUUGAUCUUGGAGAUGUUUGGAGGGACCUUGCAAGGUCCAGCCAAGGCGAGUUCUGACAGCUGCUGGACCCCCAGGUGGACCCAGUUACACUGGUUCAGUUGAGGUGAUGAGCUCAGUGUAAUCUGAACCAAUAAGCAGUAGGGGACAAGCUUUGACCAGAGGUGGUAUGGGAAUCCCUCUGAGGUGUCUAUACCUUUCCUGCAGGAUACUCAAUGUGUAGGUAUAUUCUGCUAGUCCGAAUUGGUCUGCGGUAAAGGCUCCAUGAGUACUGAACCUAACCCUGGGGUUACUUGGGAUGGAUAGGUUGAAGGUUACAGAAAUUCCAUGUAAUGUCCUGAUGUCUUGAUUCACCGUCCAUAAAUUCAUUUGUUCUGGCUUGUCUUUUAGACCAAGAUGCAGUGCAGCUGUGGUGAGUACAAUGGUGCACUAUGAGCCACCUUUGAGUACAGCAAAGGUAUCUGUUGGUAAUGGAUGGUAACCUUAAUGACUUUCAGGAACACUUUUCCACCGCAAUGAGAUUGGUCCAAAUAGAUAGUCUCUGUGGUGAAGUCGAAUAAGCUACUGCUUCCAUUGGUGACCUCACCUUUCCUUUGGUUCAUGUUGUGGACUACUGAGAGGUGUUAGCUUGGCAAAGGUGGCAAGGCCUCUUUAGAUCACAGUCUUUGGCCACGUGGGAUCAUUCACAUUUGCAGCUCUGUUUAUUGUCUUUGAACCAACCAAUCAUUUGCUCCUUGGUUAAUGCUGUAAAUGUGGUACACUGGCUGAGGUAAUAUUCUGCACUGCAGUAUGGGCAGAAAACUUUGGGCUUGGUAGAUACUUAAUUUGGGGUAAACUACCCUGGACUUGGUUGUUGGUUCUAUGGCCUUCCUUUGUUCUGUGUCAUGCAGUAUGGUGGUUUGUUUGCUUUGUCCCUGGAUUGCAGCUCUUUGAUCUUAUUUUGUGGCUCUUGUCUCAUCAGUCGGAUCAAACUCCAUACAGUUGGCUUCCAGCUGCAGCCAAUCUGCAAACUCGAGGGAGAACUUAGUCUUAUCUGGGUUUCUUUUGUCGUGAUGCCUCCUAAAUUUGGUUUGUUGUGGAUGAGAAAGACGGUUUAAAAGACCUGCUGUGCAGUUCUUCAGUACAAACCCUCUGUGAACAUGCCGAUCAUGACUUGGACUCUGAGAGAGAAGUCGCUGAAUGCCCGCUCAUCACCGGCACGGAUAGGCACACUCUAAAAAAUGCUGGGUUAUUUUUUCAACCCAAAUGCUGGGUUGAGACCGUUGGGUAGGACGUUGGGUUGUUUUAACCCAAUUUUGGGUUGAAAAUUGGUCUUGAUCAUAAUCCAGCGGCGCUGGGUUGGGAACACGUAUGUGAAGCCGCCAUUUUCUCAGCGUGAAAGAAGCGAAAAGCGAGCGAAAGACAUUAUGGUAAGUAAAGAUUAAAAAUGUAAAGUUAUCAUUCAUUGUUUAUGUCUGGGAGUAUUUUGAGGUUUCAUGGAAGGUGGAAUUAAAAGAGCUUAUAUCGAAAAAUACACGGACACGGUUUUCGCCUUAGAAACGGAGGUCUUAAAGGCCUCUUUUACUGAACAGAAGAGGUUCUUUUAAUAUAAUGUCUGUGAGUGUCUUAUGUCAUAUUUACAUAAGAUUUUACAGUAUCUGCACUUUUUGAGGUGUUAAUAAAUGGUUAUUAACACAUUUUCAUGUUAAUUUGUUAUUUUUUGCGGUUAAACUGAAUGUAACGUCUCCUGCCUGUUUACUUCACAUGUUGAUGCAACAAUAGUGUGAUUAUGUGCUCAUAUUUCAUGAAAACUAUUGUUGUCUGUGUUUUACAUUGCAGAACUCAAACCAACUUUGGAGUUGUCUGAUUUGGAGAGUCAUCAUUCUUGGUCUUCCUUUCUUAAAGGAAUAGUUCACACAAAAAAUCAUUGACUUGCCUUUUAUGUCAUUCCAAACCUAUAAGACUUUUGUCUGUCUUUAGAAAACAAAUUAAUAUUUUAAAUUUUCUCAUAAUUUAGUUAAUUAAUGCAUUAAAGUUAAUCCAUUGAGAGUCUUAAUAAUCUGAAUUUUCAAGCCUCAUAAAUACAGAGUUAUUGUAGAAGUAAUCCAUUUCGAUAUUUAUACAUGAAUAAAUCUUAAAUUAUAUGAUAGCGAACAUGUCUGUUCAGAAGAAAAUAUUGGUCUCCCAGACUUGCAUUGGAGGACAAAAAUUAAGAGAAUAUUAAAUAUUUAUUUGUGUUCCAAAAAUUAGCAGAGUUUGUAUGGGUCUGGAACAACGGGGGAGAGUAAAUUAUGACCAUUUUCAUUUUUUGGUGAACUAACCCUUUAAAGAGCAGCCCUCCACGUACAUGAAAAUUUGUGAGGUAUGUGAAUGUCAUGUCUGUUUUAAUGUUUCAGUUAAGAAGUAGGUUUCUGAAAGCAAUAUUUAUUUAAACAAUAUUAAAUGCCCUCACACUAGUGCUGCCAUUAUAGCAUUCUGGAGCGCUGUGAUAGACAGAGACAUUAAACAACCACUCAAAGUGUUGAAAUUAUAAAACAGACUAUUUACCUAUCCUUACUGAUGUGAAUACACCUCUACCUGAAAAUGGAUAGAGUUUAAUUAAACGUUUUCUUUUUAGGCCACUGCUGAAGAGCAGGCGGUGACUGGGAUGAAUGCUGGUCAGAGAAGAGAAUGUCCUUUCCCCUAAACUGAUGCAACAGUGGUUUUAAAGGAGGACGCUGCCCUGGAUGAUGUAACAUGCUGUGCUGAUGGGGCUUCUUCAUAACUACAUCAAUUAUGCUAAAGAGAUCAUGAAAAUUGACAGUGAUGCAUAAUCUGUAUUCAUGGACUAUGAUACAAACUGUAAGUGUAUAAUUUGUAAAAAAAUAAAAAUAAAAUUAAAUGCUUGUUCUGUGUUGUUUAGUAGAAAUGGUGUUUACAUUCUGUCAUUCAUACACAUGCUCACAUUCUUUCACACUCACAUGCAUCUGUCAAAUGUUAUAAUAUCAGUGUUAAUGUUGUGGUUUGUGUACUGUCAUGCCAGAAUAUUUUGUAAAGAACUUAACUUAAGUAAUUGUACAAUUAUUGUAUAAUAGUGUUUUUGUAUAUUUUUUUACAAUACAUAAAAUUUACCAAAAAAGUCAAAUUUGAUCUUAAAAGUUCUAUUCAACAAAUGUUCAAUGCUUUAUUUAUAAACUAUGUAGCUGUUAAUGCCAUACUUUUCUGCAUUUCUUCUUACGUGUUACUUUUUGACUGUUUUCUCUUGUUUUUAAUAAAUAUUUACCUUUUGAUAGUUAUUCUUGUGUAUUAAAGUGAUUUUAAAAUGAACAAGAUUUGUAGGUUUAAUACCUAGCUCGAUUUGGGUUCAUUUUAGCCUAGCCUAGCAAUGUCGUAAUUUUAAACCAUAAAAAAGCAACCCAGCAUGCUUGGUUAAACAUAAUAACCCAACUUGUUGGGUUAAAAUAACCCAGCGCUGGGUUCAGUGUGGUACUGUAGGUUCUACAAAGCCUCAAUUUUCCCCAGCACAAACUGGUAGGCCAACCAUAAUUUCUGUCAAGGGCUUGUGGGGCAUUAAUGUAAGGCGUGACUGACUCUGCAUAUGCUAAGACAACUCUGUGAGCAUUAGGCAUGCCUAAUGCUCACAGAGUUG
ensembl:lncRNA